rnacentral:rRNA from 1 species
GAUGAAUGCUGGCGGCGUGCCUAAUACAUGCAAGUCGAGCGAACGGACGAGAAGCUUGCUUCUCUGAUGUUAGCGGCGGACGGGUGAGUAACACGUGGAUAACCUACCUAUAAGACUGGGAUAACUUCGGGAAACCGGAGCUAAUACCGGAUAAUAUUUUGAACCGCAUGGUUCAAAAGUGAAAGACGGUCUUGCUGUCACUUAUAGAUGGAUCCGCGCUGCAUUAGCUAGUUGGUAAGGUAACGGCUUACCAAGGCAACGAUGCAUAGCCGACCUGAGAGGGUGAUCGGCCACACUGGAACUGAGACACGGUCCAGACUCCUACGGGAGGCAGCAGUAGGGAAUCUUCCGCAAUGGGCGAAAGCCUGACGGAGCAACGCCGCGUGAGUGAUGAAGGUCUUCGGAUCGUAAAACUCUGUUAUUAGGGAAGAACAUAUGUGUAAGUAACUGUGCACAUCUUGACGGUACCUAAUCAGAAAGCCACGGCUAACUACGUGCCAGCAGCCGCGGUAAUACGUAGGUGGCAAGCGUUAUCCGGAAUUAUUGGGCGUAAAGCGCGCGUAGGCGGUUUUUUAAGUCUGAUGUGAAAGCCCACGGCUCAACCGUGGAGGGUCAUUGGAAACUGGAAAACUUGAGUGCAGAAGAGGAAAGUGGAAUUCCAUGUGUAGCGGUGAAAUGCGCAGAGAUAUGGAGGAACACCAGUGGCGAAGGCGACUUUCUGGUCUGUAACUGACGCUGAUGUGCGAAAGCGUGGGGAUCAAACAGGAUUAGGUACCCUGGUAGUCCACGCCGUAAACGAUGAGUGCUAAGUGUUAGGGGGUUUCCGCCCCUUAGUGCUGCAGCUAACGCAUUAAGCACUCCGCCUGGGGAGUACGACCGCAAGGUUGAAACUCAAAGGAAUUGACGGGGACCCGCACAAGCGGUGGAGCAUGUGGUUUAAUUCGAAGCAACGCGAAGAACCUUACCAAAUCUUGACAUCCUUUGACAACUCUAGAGAUAGAGCUUUCCCCUUCGGGGGACAAAGUGACAGGUGGUGCAUGGUUGUCGUCAGCUCGUGUCGUGAGAUGUUGGGUUAAGUCCCGCAACGAGCGCAACCCUUAAGCUUAGUUGCCAUCAUUAAGUUGGGCACUCUAAGUUGACUGCCGGUGACAAACCGGAGGAAGGUGGGGAUGACGUCAAAUCAUCAUGCCCCUUAUGAUUUGGGCUACACACGUGCUACAAUGGACAAUACAAAGGGCAGCGAAACCGCGAGGUCAAGCAAAUCCCAUAAAGUUGUUCUCAGUUCGGAUUGUAGUCUGCAACUCGACUACAUGAAGCUGGAAUCGCUAGUAAUCGUAGAUCAGCAUGCUACGGUGAAUACGUUCCCGGGUCU